CCAAAUAUAUGCUGAGAUUUUGAAGUGAAAAUACUCUCCCAAAGUUUAUUCAAGCACCCACCAUAUUUACUUCAUCUUUAAAACCUUCGAUUCUUCAUAUACUUCGUUAUAUACACAAGGUUUUAAACCCCGAGGCUUCGUACCACCCAACCUAGCCAAAUCUCGCCUAGCUCAUUUUCAUACCACUCUCUUGUCCUCCCGAAGGGCUCUUCAAAGUUCGUGUGCAAAGCCAAAAUCCGGUCGAACCUCCGACGAAUUUUUCCGACGAACUUUUUGUAAGUGGUUAUUUUAGCUUCGUUUUACUCGUGUCUUAACCGACCAUUUUUGACAAAGGGCUUUUGAACAAAAAUAUUCUCUUCAUCUUUAAAGCUCUCCUUGUUUACAAAACACACGAGUUAGCCACUCGUUAUAUAUUUGUGCGUGUGUUUUGUCCCGGAACCUAACUCGUAUCCUUUGAGAUUUCCUCACCAAACUUUGGAGGGAUAAAUGCCUUGGCACGGAAAGCCGGAUAUAAGGCCAAAGGUAAUAAGUUAGUUAUUGUUGUGCGUGUUAUCUGUGCUUAACUGAUUAUAUCCCUACGCCCACACUAAUUAAUAUAACUCUCGUAGCUUGCCCGUACGCGGUUUGCUCAGGUUAUUAAAAUCAAUCCGACUUAAAAUCAACUAUUUAUAUUUUCCGCGCAAUAUAAAUUGUUGGACUGUUGUUGGACACUUGUUGGACUAAUCACCGUUGGACUUGUUAUAAUUGACAAACCUUAUACCUGACCGUGAUUAUUGGACUUACUUAGCGGACUAAAAUCUUAUUAAAACAAGGAUAUAUUUUCGUAGAUAUUGUGUUCUAACUUUUGCAGUGAGGUGAAGUGAAGUGAGGUGAUCUUCGUUCUAAGACCCAAGUCCUUGACGUAUUGACGGGGAGUUAAU
rnacentral:lncRNA from 1 species